GAUGAACGCUGGCGGCGUGCCUAAUACAUGCAAGUCGAGCGAACAGACGAGGAGCUUGCUCCUCUGACGUUAGCGGCGGACGGGUGAGUAACACGUGGAUAACCUACCUAUAAGACUGGGAUAACUUCGGGAAACCGGAGCUAAUACCGGAUAAUAUAUUGAACCGCAUGGUUCAAUAGUGAAAGACGGUUUUGCUGUCACUUAUAGCUGGAUCCGCGCCGCAUUAGCUAGUUGGUAAGGUAACGGCUUACCAAGGCGACGAUGCGUAGCCGACCUGAGAGGGUGAUCGGCCACACUGGAACUGAGACACGGUCCAGACGCCUACGGGAGGCAGCAGUAGGGAAUCUUCCGCAAUGGGCGAAAGCCUGACGGAGCAACGCCGCGUGAGUGAUGAAGGUCUUCGGAUCGUAAAACUCUGUUAUUAGGGAAGAACAAAUGUGUAAGUAACUAUGCACGUCUUGACGGUACCUAAUCAGAAAGCCACGGCUAACUACGUG
rnacentral:rRNA from 1 species